rnacentral:rRNA from 1 species
AUGAAGAACAUCAAGCUCAUGGCAAUCCUUGUUCUCCAGGCCAUCCUGGUCAUGGGAAUCCUCGCACAUGUGAAUGCCAACUACUUCCCCAAGUGUUGCGACAAAUGCAGGUCCUUCUCAGGGGUGGAUAUCUGUGACGACACCCAUCCUCAGUGCCCCAAGGGCUGCUCCACGUGCCGCCCGGUGCAGACGGGCAGUGUCAAGAUGUUCUAG